CAGAGAUGAUACGACUUUGUUGGGCCAUAUUAUUAAUUUGUUAUUAUUGCUAUUCAGAGGGCACUAUAAUCAUCACAGAGCCUGGUGAGAGCAUUACUUUGAAGUGUUCCUCAGAAGAAUGCCCCCAAAACAAUGGCCGAUAUCCUGGGAUGUAUCUGUAUCAUAGGUUUACUGAACAGAAUGAGGUGUAUUUCUAUAGCAACCAUGUUAACAGCAAAAUUACUGUGCGAUCGAGAUUCAAAGGCAGGAUUGAGUCAAACGGAGCUCCCAUGAACCACAGCAUCACCAUGACCAAUCUGACUGUGAAUGAUUCUGGUGUCUACACUUGUGUCUACAAAGAAUCAGUAGACAAAAGUGUUGAGUGCAAAGUCUACACGGUUUUUGUAAGAGCGGUACAGGUAGUGGAGAACUGUUCCUGUGAAACUACCCCUAUGAUACAUCCCACGACAUAUCCUGGACAAGAUGACCAGCACAUCUUGGUGUUCAUCAUCAGCAUCUGUGUCCUCGGCAUGCUGUUAAUCGUAGUCUUCAUCCUAUUGAUCAUUCAGAGGGUGAAACAAAAGCGUAGCAGCAAAAUAAGACCAAGACGUUCAAUGCAAGAAUCCAGUGACGUGUACGAAGUCAUGACCAAGAGUGACCUCUCCCCUGUCUCAGAGCACUCUUCUGAAAGUCCCUAUGAGUUUGAUUAGCAAUGCAGUCAAAUGUUAUUGGCUCACUGAAGUCUCAUGAAGUCAUUUCAAUCACAGGUCAAAAUGUCAAACAUUUGUUUUUUUUACACUUUUUAAACACUGGUUAAUUGAAACCACUUGAAUUAUUUCAAAUCAUUCUUAGUAUUGAUCAG
ensembl:lncRNA